AGUGAACGCUGGCGGCGUGCCUAACACAUGCAAGUCGAACGAUGAUUGGAGAGCUUGCUCUUCAUGAUUAGUGGCGCACGGGUGAGUAAUGCAUAGGUAAUGUGCCCCUUAGAGGGGGAUAGCCACUGGAAACGGUGAUUAAUACCCCAUACUCCUUCUGGUCAUAAGGCCAGUCGGGAAAUGUUUUUCGCUAAGGGAUCAGCCUAUGUCCUAUCAGGUAGUUGGUGAGGUAACGGCUCACCAAGCCAAUGACGGGUAUCUGGUUUGAGAGGAUGAUCAGACACACUGGAACUGAGACACGGUCCAGACUCCUACGGGAGGCAGCAGUGAGGAAUAUUGCACAAUGGAGGAAACUCUGAUGCAGCAACGCCGCGUGGAGGAUGACGCAUUUCGGUGUGUAAACUCCUUUUAAGAGGGAAGAUUAUGACGGUACCUCUUGAAUAAGCACCGGCUAACUCCGUG
rnacentral:rRNA from 1 species